rnacentral:rRNA from 1 species
GGAUCGAAGUCUGCAACCCGACUUCGUGAAGCUGGAUUCGCUAGUAAUCGCGCAUCAGCCAUGGCGCGGUGAAUACGUUCCCGGGCCUUGUACACACCGCCCGUCAAGCCAUGAAAGCCGGGGGUACCUGAAGUACGUAACCGCAAGGAUCGUCCUAGGGUAAAACUGGUAAUUGGGGCUAAGUCGUAACAAGGUAAC